rnacentral:rRNA from 1 species
UACAGAGGUGGCAAGCGUUGUUCGGAAUUACUGGGCGUAAAGGGCGCGUAGGCGGCCAUCUAAGUCAGACGUGAAAUCCCCCGGCUUAACCUGGGAACUGCGUCUGAUACUGGAAGGCUUGAGUAUGGGAGAGGGAAGUAGAAUUCCAGGUGUAGCGGUGAAAUGCGUAGAUAUCUGGAGGAAUACCGGUGGCGAAGGCGGCAUCCUGGACCAUUACUGACGCUGAGGCGCGAAAGCUAGGGGAGCAAACGGG